UACACUCCUACGGGAGGCAGCAGUGGGGAAUAUUGCACAAUGGGCGCAAGCCUGAUGCAGCCAUGCCGCGUGUAUGAAGAAGGCCUUCGGGUUGUAAAGUACUUUCAGCGGGGAGGAAGGCGAUAAGGUUAAUAACCUUGUUGAUUGACGUUACCCGCAGAAGAAGCACCGGCUAACUCCGUGCCAGCAGCCGCGGUAAUACGGAGGGUGCAAGCGUUAAUCGGAAUUACUGGGCGUAAAGCGCACGCAGGCGGUCUGUCAAGUCGGAUGUGAAAUCCCCGGGCUCAACCUGGGAACUGCAUUCGAAACUGGCAGGCUAGAGUCUUGUAGAGGGGGGUAGAAUUCCAGGUGUAGCGGUGAAAUGCGUAGAGAUCUGGAGGAAUACCGGUGGCGAAGGCGGCCCCCUGGACAAAGACUGACGCUCAGGUGCGAAAGCGUGGGGAGCAAACAGGAUUAGAAACCCUGGUAGUCC
rnacentral:rRNA from 1 species